CCACCUUUGACAUGGCAGGAAGGCUCCAGAGAUGGGGCUGUGCUCGAAAGAGAACCUGCACACAGGUGCUGCAUGGCUGUCGUCAGCUCGUGUCGUGAGAUGUUGGGUUAAGGCCCGCAACGAGCGCAACCCUUGUGUUUAGUUGCCAACAGGUUAAGCUGUGCACUCUAAACAGACUGCCGUGGAUAACACGGAGGAAGGUGGGGAUGACGUCAAAUCAUCAUGCCCCUUAUGAUCUGGGCUACACACGUGCUACAAUGGUCGGUACAACGGGCAGCGAAAGAGUAAUCUGGAGCGAAUCCUAAAAAGCCGAUCCCAGUUCGGAUUGUGGGCUGAAACUCGCCCACAUGAAGUUGGAGUUGCUAGUAAUCGCGAAUCAGAAUGUCGCGGUGAAUGCGUUCCC
rnacentral:rRNA from 1 species